rnacentral:rRNA from 1 species
CCCUUAGAUGUUCUGGGCUGCACGCGCGCUACACUGAUGCGCUCAACGAGUUUACGACCUUGCCCGGAAGGGUUGGGUAAUCUUUUUAAAACACAUCGUGAUGGGGAUAGAUUAUUGCAAUUAUUAAUCUUUAACGAGGAAUUCCUAGUAAGCGCGAGUCAUCAGCUCGUGCUGAUUACGUCCCUGCCCUUUGUACACACCGCCCGUCGCUCCUACCGAUUGAAUGAUCCGGUGAAUAAUUCGGACUGCAGCAGUGUUCAGUUCCUGAACGUUGCAGCGGAAAGUUUAGUGAACCUUAUCACUUAGAGGAAGGAGAAGUCGUAACA